rnacentral:rRNA from 1 species
GACGAACGCUGGCGGCGUGCCUAAUACAUGCAAGUCGAACGCUUCUUUCCUCCCGAGUGCUUGCACUCAAUUGGAAAGAGGAGUGGCGGACGGGUGAGCAACACGUGGGUAACCUACCCAUCAGAGGGGGAUAACACUUGGAAACAGGUGCUAAUACCGCAUAACAGUUUAUGCCGCAUGGCAUAAGAGUGAGCGGCGCUUUCGGGUGUCGCUGAUGGAUGGACCCGCGGUGCAUUAGCUAGUUGGUGAGGUAACGGCUCACCAAGGCCACGAUGCAUAGCCGACCUGAGAGGGUGAUCGGCCACACUGGGACUGAGACACGGCCCAGACUCCUACGGGAGGCAGCAGUAGGGAAUCUUCGGCAAUGGACGAAAGUCUGACCGAGCAACGCCGCGUGAGUGAAGAAGGUUUUCGGAUCGUAAAACUCUGUUGUUAGAGAAGAACAAGGACGUUAGUAACUGAACGUCCCCUGACGGUAUCUAACCAGAAAGCCACGGCUAACUACGUG